CAAAAUAGUGUUUUCAACACAAUUGUGGCUUUGUGCAAAGGGGAGAACUGUUAUAAGGGAUUUAACAAGAGCAAAGGUGGGGCAGAAGAGAGAAUUCUGGAACUCUGAAGAGGACACAGGCAAUUUCUGUCCAGGCAGUUUCUUCUCAGGAGGAGACAAGGCAGUUAGAAUAACUCUCUGGAGUAGGAUUGUGUGAUCUUCCUUCAAGCAAGUUCAUCUUCUGGGAAGUGUUGAUAUUACUUAACACUUCACAGGUGGACUGUGAGAGUUAAACCAUUACUCCCCUUCCUGUUCCUGUGUGGUCCUGCUAUUGCUGUGAUCUCUACUAGGACUCCUACCAGACUCAAGAGGACACAGGUCAUGAGAUCAUCCUUUGACUCUCAUUCCUGUUACCAAAUUUUAAUAUAUUAACUAAGGGGGUUAAUUUGAAUAGUUAUAGGAAGUAUACUCAUAGGUAGUAAAAUCAGUAGUUAGUGGGGUUUAGCACUUUGACCUUGGGUUAGGAUCAGAUCAUCCCUAUUCCCAUUCCUUCUUCCCUUACCUUAAAAUAAACUGUUAUUUUGUUAUCAUUAUAGGCUUUACCCAUUAUUUUAAUAAACCUAUUUCAAUCAACCCUGGCAAAGUAUUGACACCCAUUAUGAGCCAGCACCAGGUGAAGUAGGGGUGAGGCUGCUCUGUUCCUCCUCUUCCCGGCGCCCAAGGACAUUUUUGCAUGCCAUGCCCCUCUGUCCAACUGCCCAAAGUGAUGAUCCCAAAGCCCAGCAGGCUCAAGGUCAAACAACUAUUAAGUUUUGAAACUGACAUUUGGUCCACAUCUCUCCUUACUCCAAGUUUAAUAUUGGUUUGAAAAUAUAGGCAAAAGAUCCAAUAAGAAACCAUAUGUUUCUGAGAAAUAAAUGUAGACACUUCUGGAGGUAGAGUCAAGAUGGCAGAAUAAUACAGAGCAUCUGUGUGCCAUCAUGAGAAUCUUCUUCAACCAAAGUUAAAUUAUUGCCACAAAACGAGUACAAGAGUGAAAGAACCAACAAGGAAACAGAGUGAAACAACUUUCAAGAAAGGAAAAACCCAAAAGGAUCUUUUGGACAAUCACCAGUGGAAAAGAGGAACCAAAGAACACUUAAGACCAAACUUAUUACUGGAGGGAAGGGAGAUGUGAACUGAAGUGGUUUGCCUUUGCUACUGAAUUCUAGCCUCAUCCACAGAUACUGUGUUUAUCCCAAUUGUCUUCUCAAGAUAUUGAAAGCAAGAAAAAGAGAAGAAAGAAAUAAAACAAAGAAAAAUAAAGAAUAUGUGAUCUUU
rnacentral:lncRNA from 1 species